GGAGACUUAGCUCAGUUGGGAGAGCGUCUGCCUUACAAGCAGAGGGUCAGCGGUUCGAGCCCGUUAGUCUCCACCA
rnacentral:tRNA from 1 species